AUGCACUUUGAAACUUUCGAAGAAGCAAAGAACUUCUACAACGUCUAUUCAAAGCACGCAGGUUUUGCUAUCAGGGAAGGCCCCAAGGUUGAGAACAGAGUCUACCUUUAUUGCACGUGCUAUGGAGUCUAUGAAUCAAAGGUUUCAGAAGCAAAUAGACCGCGGAACAAGACCACAGCCAGGACUAACUGCGGGGCUAAAAUUAGGAUGAAGAAGGAAAAGGAUGGAACACUAGUCGUAAAAGAGAUAAUCUGGGAACACAACCACGGGCUGCAGCUCACCACAGAAAUGCUUGUCUUUUUGCACUCCCACAAAAACUUUGACAAGACAAUAUUGGAGUACGUCAAGUACCUGCAGUUCAAAGGCAUUGAACACGCGCAAAUCAUGAGCAUACUUGGCGGCGAUGACCCAGGUAGCUACUUCCUCGAAAUGAAUGCCAAAGACCUAAUUAACAUCAAAGCAAAGAAUUCAAGGAUGGAUGACGUGGGCAAUGUCCUGAAGACUGUCAACUUUUUUAGGGAGAUGAAAGCAAUAAACAGGGAAUUCUUCUGCGACAUACAACUUGACGCGAGCUGCCGAGCGGUAAACCAAGACUUUGGUGACUGCGUGACGGACACCACAUAUAAGACCAACAAAUACCAUAUGCCACUUGGAGUGUUUGUGGGUACCAACAACCACUUUCAGACUACAAUCUUUGCUUUCGCCCUGAUAAGAGAUGAGGAUGCAGAUUCAUACAAAUGGCUUUUCAAAACAUUUUUAAAAUGCAUGAGAGGGAAGGCUCCUACAUGCAACCUCAUAGACCAGUGCCCGGCAAUGGCUUUGGCGAUCCCAGAUGUUUUCAAGAACACAGUACAUAAGCUAUGCCGCUGGCACAUUAUGAAGAAGUACAGGGAACACCUCGCGUACCUGUACGACCUCCACAAAACCUUUAAGGAUGAAUUCAUAGCAAUCCUCAACUGGCCCCUCAUGCCAACUGAGUUGGAGACUGCCUGGAAAGAUCUCAUGGAUAGGUACAACCUCCAUGAUGAUGCCACGAUGGUGGCAAUGUGGAACGAGCGCGAGAAAUGGAUAUCAGCUUACUUCAAAGAAAUUUUUUGUGCCAGAAUGACAUCGACACAACGGAGUGAGAGCAUGAACUAUGUGCUGAAGAAGAACUACGUAUGUGAGAGACAAAACCUGCACCGGUUUGUCAGCAGGUAA
rnacentral:rRNA from 1 species